ACACCCUUAAGCACACAAUCCCCGCCUCCAUAACCGCAAUUCCCCGCCAAAAGAAAGCAGCAGCUAUAACUGAAAAAGGAUUUGGCUAUCUGCUUUGCUUUUCAUGGUGUUUAUAUAAAUAAAACCCAACGGCAAACUCCCCACUGCAACUUCCAAGAAGCUUAAAAUCCAUUCCAGAAAAGAAAAUCAUCACUGAAUUAGAUCUCCCUCGAUCCAAUGCAGGCGCCGCCGGACAUCAGUAGUUGUGCGUUGAAUGAGCAGAACCGUCUCUUUCUAUGCCGUGUGUGCAAGAACCACGUCCUCGUUGCCUCCGGCGACAACUUCUUUAGCCGCAUCCGAAUGGCGGCGGAGGGUGGAGAGAUGGUGGACGGAAUCCUCUG